rnacentral:rRNA from 1 species
UAAGCGCCGGUAAGGUGAUAUGAACCGUUAUAACCGGCGAUACCCGAAUGGGGAAACCCAGUGUGACUCGUCACACUAUCAUUAACUGAAUCCAUAGGUUAAUGAGGCGAACCGGGGGAACUGAAACAUCUAAGUACCCCGAGGAAAAGAAAUCAACCGAGAUUCCCCCAGUAGCGGCGAGCGAACGGGGAGGAGCCCAGAGCCUGAAUCAGCAUGUGUGUUAGUGGAAGCGUCUGGAAAGGCGCGCGAUACAGGGUGACAGCCCCGUACACAAAAGCGCAUGUGCUGUGAGCUCGAUGAGUAGGGCGGGACACGUGGUAUCCUGUCUGAAUAUGGGGGGACCAUCCUCCAAGGCUAAAUACUCCUGACUGACCGAUAGUGAACCAGUACCGUGAGGGAAAGGCGAAAAGAACCCCGGCGAGGGGAGUGAAAAAGAACCUGAAACCGUGUACGUACAAGCAGUGGGAGCACAGGUUUACCUGUGUGACUGCGUACCUUUUGUAUAAUGGGUCAGCGACUUAUAUUCUGUAGCAAGGUUAACCGUAUAGGGGAGCCGUAGGGAAACCGAGUCUUAACCGGGCGUUAAGUUGCAGGGUAUAGACCCGAAACCCGGUGAUCUAGCCAUGGGCAGGUUGAAGGUUGGGUAACACUAACUGGAGGACCGAACCGACUAAUGUUGAAAAAUUAGCGGAUGACCUGUGGCUGGGGGUGAAAGGCCAAUCAAACCGGGAGAUAGCUGGUUCUCCCCGAAAGCUAUUUAGGUAGCGCCUCGUGAAUUCAUCUCCGGGGGUAGAGCACUGUUUCGGCUAGGGGGCCAUCCCGGCUUACCAACCCGAUGCAAACUGCGAAUACCGGAGAAUGUUAUCACGGGAGACACACGGCGGGUGCUAACGUCCGUCGUGAAGAGGGAAACAACCCAGACCGCCAGCUAAGGUCCCAAAGUCAUGGUUAAGUGGGAAACGAUGUGGGAAGGCCCAGACAGCCAGGAUGUUGGCUUAGAAGCAGCCAUCAUUUAAAGAAAGCGUAAUAGCUCACUGGUCGAGUCGGCCUGCGCGGAAGAUGUAACGGGGCUAAACCAU